CAAUAGCGUAUACUAAUGUUGUUGCAGUUAAAAAGCUCGUAGUUGAACUUCUGGUAGGAGUGUCCCGGCCUUUUUGUUUUUACAAAUUGUAUGCUGUGUGACAUCUCUGGCCAUCCUUCUUCUUUGUUUAAAGAAGAUCUUUCACUGUAAAAAAAUUAGGGUGUUCAAAGCAAAAGCUUCUUUGGAAUAUAUUAGUAUGGGAUGAUAAGAUAGGCUCUAGAUGCUAUUUUGUUGGUUUGCACAUUUAGAGAAUGAUUAACAGGGACAGUUGGGGGUAUUCGUAUUUACAUGUCAGAGGUGAAAUUCUUGGAUUUUGGAAAGACGAACUACUGCGAAAGCAUUUACCAAGGAUGUUUUCAUUAA
rnacentral:rRNA from 1 species